GUCCAGACUCCUACGGGAGGCAGCAGUGGGGGAUAUUGCACAAUGGGGGGAACCCUGAUGCAGCGACGCCGCGUGAGUGAAGAAGUAAUUCGUUAUGUAAAGCUCUAUCAGCAGGGAAGAAUAAAUGACGGUACCUGAGUAAGAAGCCCCGGCUAACUACGUGCCAGCAGCCGCGGUAAUACGUAGGGGGCAAGCGUUAUCCGGAUUUACCGGGUGUAAAGGGAGCGUAGACGGCGAUGCAAGCUCGGUGUGAAAGGUGCGGGCACAACCCGCAGACUGCACUGAGAACUGUAUGGCUGGAGUGCCGGAGGGGCAGGCGGAAUUCCUGGUGUAGCGGUGAAAUGCGUAGAUAUCAGGAGGAACACCGGUGGCGAAGGCGGCCUGCUGGACGGCGACUGACGUUGAGGCUCGAAAGCGUGGGGAGCGAACAGGAUUAGAUACCCCUGUAGAU
rnacentral:rRNA from 1 species